UUCUGCUCAGCCCUAGCAGCACUAUCGCCACUGAGAAACUGUUCUGGCUCCUGCCCAGUUCCGGGUUUCCAGCGGAGUGAAGAUGCAGCUUCUGCACACCCCAGAAGAUUACUUCAGACCGGGAACCGCUGUUGUUUUUUGUUUUCUAAGGGUCGAUGGUUCGUUGUGGCUGUUCCCAAAAAUGCUGUACCUCGUCUAACCCCUUCCCACACCCCCCACGGGAUGAACCACCACAAGAUGGCGGCGGCCAUGUGGCGGGGGUCUUUGUCUCUCCACAAGGUAGACAAAGAAGCGUGGCGGGAACUCCUCCUUCCCAGACUAGCAGGAUGUCAAUUCCUACGUUCCUGCUCCUCAUUUGGCUCCAGAAAAGCAGGAGAAUGAGGACUCGUCCAAGGGCAUGUUUAAAGGCUGGGAUCUUUCUGGGUGGGUGUUGUCCCUUCUAAAGGACAUUUGUUAUUUUGUAGUUACAAUUUUUUUAGUUUUGCUAUCAUUUGGGAUUUUUAAGCGAAUCAUUUUUAGCAUUGCUUCCUCCAAGUUUGAAGCCUCCGCACCUGUCGUAGUUGCUGCUUCCACCAUGGGAGGAGAAUGGUGGGAAGAUGGAAAACAAAACAACACUGCAGUUUGAUAGCUGCAGUUUCUCCUUCCCCCAAAGAUCCAUUCAUUUUAUUAAACAAAAAAGAGGGAGAUGUUGUAGCGUACAGCUACGCAAAUGGAGCAAAAAGGCUUUGUGAAUUUUAAAUGGGAGUUUCUGUUUCCUAAACCUAAAGCUGGAGUCUCUAUUCUGUAUUUUUAUGUGUAUUUUCCCUUCCCCGUGAAGCUAUUCCCUUUGGAUUUUACCUAUCAUGUAUUCAUACUGGGCAUUGUUCUAUUGGUUUCACCGUAUCUCUUAUUUUCCCCUAUAUAACCUGUAACUCAACCCC